ensembl:lncRNA novel transcript, antisense to NUP214
AAAGCAGCACAUGUCCAACAGGAAAAUGAAUAAACAAAUACAGCAUAUUCAUACAAUAGAAUCCUAUACAGAGCAACUAAAAUAACAGCUAGAGGCAACAACACGGAUGGAUCUUACAAGCCUGAUGUGGAACAAGAGAAGCCUGUCCAGAGACUAAGUGAAUGGAUUUAUGUGGUAUGCAAAAACAGGCAAAACCAAAUCAUAGUGUUUUGGGAGGUAUGCUUACAUAGUAAAGCUCUGAAGGAAAACAAAGAAAAGGCGACUAAAGAGAAUGACAACUUACACAAUGCAGAAUCCUGGAUUGGAUCCUAGAUCCAAUCAACGUGUAGGGAUGCUGAUCCCACUCCAAGUCUAGAACAUCAUUCACAUCUUGGACAGCAAAUUUCACAUACUGAUGAAGGCGCCGAAUUUCCUAUAAGAAAAAAAUUAAAAGGCAAAUAACUUGUUUUUCUGAUAGUUUGGGGGAAGAUGUAUCAAAACAGUCAAAAGAAUUCUAAAAUACUUCUAUAUUAAGAACCAUAAUGAACAAGGAAAACAGAAUAGGUUUUAAUACGAUUUUUAAAACUAUAUAAUUAAAAUGAGGCCGGGUGUAGUGGCUCAGGCCUAUAAUCCCAACACCCUGGGAGGCCAAGGCAGGAGGACUGCUUGAAGCCAGGAGUUAAAGAUCAGCCUGGGCAACACAGCAAGACUCUGUCUCUAAUAAUGUAUACAAAUAAAAAAGUUACAUAAAAAAACUUUAUAAUUAAAAUGAAAAACAAAAUUGGCCAGGAGUGGUGGCUCCUCACUUUGGGA